AUUUGGUCUCAGAAUUUAGGUUCCUGCCCUGUUUUUGUUGUUGCUGGGGUUUUUUUUUUUUUUUUGUUUUUUUUUUUAAUCGUUUUCAAAAGUUCUUCAAGGCAAGAGUGAAUUUCUGUGGAUUUUACUGGUCCCAGCUUUUAGGUUCUUUAAGACACUAACAGGACUGCAUAUAGAGGCUUUUCAGCAUUACUGUGCCAGUAUGUGCCCAGUCAGUGGCCAGAUACCAUUAGAAAUGAAAAUUACAUUUGAAAGCCAUUAGACUUCUAGUUGCUUUGAGCAUCUUGAGAGAGAGGCUAAUCGCACUAGAGAGAUUACAUUUUUUCCUUUUUCUAAUUGUUUAAAUCGAAAUUUUAUACCAGUGUCUCAAAUUAAUUGGGUGUUAGUUUGAGGUGGUGAAAGGUUGUUUGGGGAGUUUAUUGUAAUGGUUUUACUGUAAAAGGUGUUUCAAACUGUGCUGAGAUGUUGCUGAAAAAGUAUGGUGCUGGUAACAGUUCAACAAUCCGUGGCUGCUCAUUCUUGCCUACUUUUAUUCUCCCUCUGAAGCAGGUUAGCAUUGAAGGUGGUAUGGAAAAGCCUGCAUGCGUGUUCAAUUCUUUAUUUCUUCUUCCCUCUUCCUCCGCGUCCCCCUUACCCACCCCCACCCCCCCUUCGCUCGCUCAGCCUUUCUUUCAGUAUGUGUAACUUGAAGCUAAUUUGUACUACUGGAUAUCUGACUGGAGCCACAGAUACAGAAUCUGUAUUGUUCUUACUGAAACACAGCAUGGAAUUAACAUUAAACUUAAAUAAAACAAACCUAAAUUAAAAAUGCCAAA